GGAUAUGAGGGCCAUCUGGCUACAACAGAUGCCACCCCAGUGGUGCCUGGAGUUGUGUACUACAGUGAUCUGUCAGGCUAGGCAUGUGACCUAUCCCACCCUCACCACUCCAAGUGCACCCCUCCUAAAACUGCAUCUCAUCUCAAGAGAAUGACUUUCUUGGCAGAGCACGGCCAUUUUUGGUCAGGUGUACAGGUGCUGUGCCCCCCAGCCAGAACCUCCAAACAAGCUCUCAGACACAGCAGAUCCAAACUGUAAUGAGGAUCUUUCUUCAAAAACCAUUUGUUUUCGUGGUUUUGUUAUUCUGAGAUAGGCU
ensembl:misc_RNA Gm22596 predicted gene, 22596